rnacentral:misc_RNA from 1 species
ACGUCACGCGCCACUGUGGUUGGUGUGAACAGAUAAAGCGGAUCUCUCGGCCCGCCUGUUGUUUUCUCAAGAAGCCUGCUACCACUUAGUAAACCUCUAGUUUACUUUUCACAGUUCGCGUGGAGUUACACAGUGUGUGUGUCUGGGUGUGCUGGCUCUGAAGUACCUCUGACUGGAAAAAUUGAAGUGUUAUUUCGUCCUCCGACCAGGCAUGUCGGACUUGGAAAGAACAUAUGAUGAACUGGGAUACACUCAAAACUUCACAGAUAAAAGUGCCAUCGACAUACUGGCAAAAACAGACAGCAACACGAUGGAAUAUAUCUUGCAACCUCCGAACAAAUACUGGUCGCUAGUAGCAGACACCAGUCGUGCUUGUACAGAAGAGGAGGUGGCAGAACUCCAGCGGUUUGUUGGCUGGGCCCUGCAACACGGCAGGUACGAACAGGUGUGCGUUGCCAUGCACUUGAUCGACAUUCAUGGGUUCACGAAUGCAUCUCUGCUCGAUGAUGUCAUGCGGCAUGUGGAGCAGAAGGAAGCUGGACAUUUAAUUCCACCCAGACUCUUGAUUCAAUGGGCCAAAGUUUUGCAGAACAAGGGAGACUUGCAUGGGGCGGUUAGGAGGCUGAACAUGGCGAGGAGUUUACUUGAUAAAGAAAAGGAUUCAACUGGCUGCUCAAAUGAAAUAGAGAAGAUUCGAGGAGAAUGCACACAGCUGACAGGACUCACUCUCAACAAAAUGUGUUGCUGGAAAGAUGCUGUCUACCCGCUGAUGGACUCAAUAGCAAUCUUUUCUAAGAUUGACAAUUCCAACAUGGCUCUGGUAAUAUCUCUUGAGAUGGUGGCCAAGUGCAUCUCCAGCAUUCCGCAUGAAGACUUCAUAGAGACAAAAAGCCAUCUUGACUUCAAGCACAAUGACAGGUUUUACCAGGCGUACUCCAUGUGUAAAGAAGCGGCGGGCUUGGCGGGUACCUCGGGGUUGCAGCAAGCUAUGGCGCAGAACCAAGCUGCAGAAGCGCUCCUGAGGUUCGCUGCUCAGCAUGGCACCUCCACAACAAGGUGGGCUUACCUCAGGAAGGUGAUCGAGGAAGUCCAGCUGAGUCUCCGGGCUCAUACAACAUUAUCCCAGCUCUUCCAGCGUGAGAACUUUUUCCAAAUAGUUCGUUCGCUGUUUCUUGUCCGUCUCGCACUUAGUUUUUCUGAUGCUAGUGAAGACCAAAUGUUUGCCAGCUGUCUAGAGGAGUGGGCUAUGAUCCUGUAUGGCGUCUACUGCCAGCAGCUUUGUCAAAAAGGUUUUUUGUCAACAUCACUCGACGUGGCUGACAACGUUCUUGUCAGAGAAGUCGUCCAAACUGUCAUAAACGAAUUUAAUUUAAAAAUAGAACUAGAACAGCCUACCCAGAAUCUGUCUACAGAAAAGAAUGUUAUACCUUCUCAAAUAAAAGAAUGUCAAACAUCUAUAGAGAAGAAAGACAAAUGCUUGGCGAUGCCAAUUGAAAAGAAAUGUGCGGAAUUGAGAGUCAGUGGGAGUCAGCCAAAAGAUUGGGUCGUCGACAGGACACCGAGGCAGCAGGAAGUGGGGUUAUCCAUCAUCCCUAGCGACUAUGACAUCCCACUGUGUGAUGUACCCCAUGGCAUAUUCCAGAACCUGUGUGGAUGCAAAUUCCGUGCCGAGCAGGUGACUGACCACACCCAAUUAUUUGAUGACCAUGCUGCUAUACAACAAAAGAAUGUCUUUGAUGCUGACGGGUGCGAAAGAGGAAAGGGUACGUCAGGUAAAGACUGCAUCACGCAGGACUCGGGGUACGGGUCAGCCUUGACACUAGUAGAAACAUUCUUGACGACAAAGCUGCUAGAGGAAAAAGAGACUGAUGAGUCAGAGUGUGACAGUGGCCUUGGUACUUCUUCCUUCAGCUCAGCUUCCAAGCACAGUUCAUACUCCAGUGACUACAGCUGCAAAGGAAGCUGCGGGUACUGUAAUGUCCAGAGCGCCAUCAAAAAUAUCAAACGGGCUCGCCUUUUCAAGUUCAAUCCAGUGACUGGGCUAUGGACGUGCCAGACUACACUGGUCUUUCUAGGGCCUCUUCUAUCACUGGAAGACAAGGUCAAAGGUCAAUGUCGGGAUGCCUUCGAUGUGCAGUUUCUGCACCAAGAUGAGGUCCUUGGAAGGUUAGGUAUGUCGGCAAAAGAUACAAGCGCCAGAAGCCAGCCAGCCAGUACCUGCGCGACCUGACAUGUCAGAAAAUUGCACGUUUCCUUGUCACGCUCUUUAACUUCGCCCUGAGGGAUCUCAGAUACGACAUUCAGGUGGUGUAUGUGCCAGUGGCACAUCUCCAGAUUAUCUCAGACAAACUGGAGGUUGAAGACUGGUUGAAUGUGGAGCCUUAUUUGGAGGGGGACUUCAUUAAGCUGACUAAUAAUCUUCAUU